GACUUCCCAACUGUCUCAACCAUAGACUCGGCGAAAUUGCACUACGAGUAAAGAUGCUCGUUACGCGCGGCAGGACGAAAAGACCCCGGGACCUUCACUACAACUUGGUAUUGGUGUUCGGUACUGUUUGUGUAGGAUAGGUGGGAGACUGUGAAACUCUAACGCCAGUUAGAGCGGAGUCGUUGUUGAAAUACCACUCUGACCGUAUUGGACACCUAACUUCGAACCCUAAUCGGGUUCAGGGACAGUGCCUGGCGGGUAGUUUAACUGGGGCGGUUGCCUCCUAAAAUGUAACGGAGGCGCCCAAAGGUUCCCUCAACCUGGACGGCAAUCAGGUGUUGAGUGUAAGUGCACAAGGGAGCUUGACUGCGAGACCUACACGUCAAGCAGGGACGAAAGUCGGGACUAGUGAUCCGGCACCCCCGAGUGGAAGGGGUGUCGCUCAACGGAUAAAAGGUACCCCGGGGAUAACAGGCUGAUCUUCCCCAA
rnacentral:rRNA from 1 species